rnacentral:tRNA from 1 species
GGGGAUGUAGCUCAGUUGGUAGAGUGUUUGCCUAGCAUGUUCAAAGUCCUGGGUUCGAUUCCUAGCACUUCA